AUUGAACGCUGGCGGCAUGCCUUACACAUGCAAGUCGAACGGUAACGCGGGGGCAACCCUGGCGACGAGUGGCGAACGGGUGAGUAGCGCAUCGGAACGUGCCCAGUAGUGGGGGAUAGCCCGGCGAAAGCCGGAUUAAUACCGCAUACGACCUACGGGUGAAAGCGGGGGACCGCAAGGCCUCGCGCUAUUGGAGCGGCCGAUGCCCGAUUAGCUAGUUGGUGAGGUAAAGGCUCAACAAGGCGACGAUCGGUAGCUGGGCUGAGAGGACGACCAGCCACACCGGGACGGAGACACGGCACAGACUCCGACGGGAGGCAGCAGUGGGGAAUUUUGGACAAUGGGCGAAACCCUGAUCCAGCCAUGCCGCGUGCGAGAAGAAGGCCUUCGGGUUGUAACCCGCUUUUGGCAGGAACGAAACGGCGCGCGCCAAUAGCGCGCGCUAAUGACGGUACCUGCAGAAUAAGCACCGGCUAACUGCGUGCCAGCCGCCGCGGUAACAC
rnacentral:rRNA from 1 species